GCCGAAAUGCUCAGUUGGGAGAGCGUUAGACUGAAGAUCUAAAGUAGCCCUGGGUUCGAUCCCGGGUUUCGGCA